rnacentral:lncRNA from 1 species
ACACUUGUGACUCUAAGCUUAAAAGAUAAGAAGAUUCAACCAAACAACAAGAGGUAAUCAUUUAGAUAUGAUUUGUCUCAUUAAUUUCGAAUUAUUCUCAUUAGAUCUAGGGUUUGAAAGUCUUGGAUGAAUGCAUGUACAAUUAGAGAAACCUAGAUCCAAGCAUUAGGGUUUGCAUAAGCACAUACGAUGUUCUUUUGGCUCAAACCCAUCAAUGGUAUCAGAGAUUUGUUUGGUUUCUAUUGUAUUUGAUGCCUUGAAUGUUGAUCAAGCUUUAAAAUCGAUUUUUGGGCUAACUUUCUGAUGAACUCGACGAGUUUAGCUGUCAGACAGAGAGAUUUUUUAGAUUUCUUGCUGUUUUCCUUAAUGAUACUUACCUAAAUCAUUUUAGACUUAUAAAAUCCGAAUUUUAUUACUGUUUGGUGAAUAUCUGUGACAACCUGAAAUUUUCCAUCCAGUACAGUCAAACACUUCAUUAAAAGUCAAACUCAUUUCUGCUAUCUUNCUUUAAAAUCGAUUUUUGGGCUAACUUUCUGAUGAACUCGAUGAGUUCCAAUGUGAACUCGACGAGUUUAGCUGUCAGACAGAGAGAUUUUUGAGAUUUCUUGCUGUUUUCCUUAAUGAUACUUACCUAAAUCAUUUUAGACUUCUAAAGUCCAAAUUUUAUUACUGUUUUGUGAAUAUCUGUGACAACCUGAAAUUUUCUAUCCAGUACAGUCAAACACUUCAUUAAAAGUCAAACUCAUUUCUG